rnacentral:lncRNA from 1 species
CCUCUUGUUGCAUUUGUUUGUGAUUAGUGUUGUGUGUAGCUUUGCACGACACCCUACCUAAUUUAGGGACUUUGCUAUUAUGCAUGCUUUUUAUUUGCAGGAAACAUGGAGGUUGGUUGCUAUAGGUACAUAGAUGUGAAGUUUUAAGACUCAUUUGGCCUUCUCUACUGAAAGGAUCAAGCUACAUGAGAAGGAACUAGGACAAUGCUUGGAGACAAAA